GGGAUGUAGCUCAAUGGUAGAGUGCUUGCCUAAACUCUGUAAGGGCCUGGGUUCAAUCCCUAAUAUUACCA
rnacentral:tRNA from 1 species